rnacentral:rRNA from 1 species
CCUACGGGGGGCAGCAGUGGGGAAUAUUGCACAAUGGGGGAAACCCUGAUGCAGCGACGCCGCGUGAGUGAAGAAGUAUUUCGGUAUGUAAAGUUCUAUCAGCAGGGAAGAAAAUGACGGUACCUGAUUAAGAAGCCCCGGCUAACUACGUGCCAGCAGCCGCGGUAAUACGUAGGGGGCAAGCGUUAUCCGGAUUUAUUGGGUGUAAAGGGGGCGUAGACGGCAGCACAAGUCUGGAGUGAAAUGCCGGGGCUUAACCCCGGAACUGCUUUGGAACCUGUGCAGCUAGAGUGCAGGAGAGGUAAGUGGAAUUCCUAGUGUAGCGGUGAAAUGCGUAGAUAUUAGGAGGAACACCAGUGGCGAAGGCGGCUUACUGGACUGUAACUGACGUUGAGGCUCGAAAGCGUGGGGAGCAAACAGGAUUAGAUACCCUUGUAGUC